rnacentral:lncRNA from 1 species
CCGAGCAUAUGCUGACCAACCAGACAGUGUCUUCACUGACAUUUUCAACCUCUCCCUGUCUGUGUCUAUAAUACCAACAUGUUUUAAGCAGACCACCAUAGUGCCUGUGCCCAAGAACACUAAGGUAACCUGCCUAAAUGACUACUGACCCGUAGCACUCACAUCUGUAGCCAUGAAGUGCUUUGCAAGGCUGUUCAUGGCUCACGUCAACACCAUCAUUCCAUGAAACCCUAGACCAACUGAAUUUGCAUACCGUCCCAACAGAUCCACAGAUGAUGCAAUCUUUAUUGCACUCCACACUGCCCUUUCACACCUGGACAAAAGGAACACCUAUGUGAGAAAGCUAUUCAUUGACUACAGCUCAGUGUUUAGCACCAUAGUGGCCUCAAAGCUCAUCAAUAAGCUAAGGAACCUGAGACUAAACACCUCCCUCUGCAACUGGAUCCUGGACUUCCUGACAGGCCUCCCCCAGGUGGUAAAGCAUAAAGUACUCUGCAGCCACUUAGCGUGGACACCAGGUUAUAUCAGCUGUGUCGGUGAACCCCUCCUGCAUCUGAACUGGCUACAUAGAGGGCACAGCAUGAUCAGAGGACGCCAACCCCGAGUCCCGUCAUCGCCACCUCACUCGCUCUUAAGAUAACCUUCGGGCCGACUGGGAGCCCAGGGCUGGUUAGGAGACACCACUAGAGACGCUAUUAUGUAAUUGUGAUGAACAGAGAAUAUUAGGGUACCACUGUGAUUCAUAUGCUGCCUUCCCCUUCUGUCGUUUACACCUCUCUCGCCACCUCCUCUUUCUUCCUCUGAUUUUAUAAUGCACAACAGAUGUGCAUUGAAGUUCAGUUUGAACUUGUAUUUAUAAUAUAAUAUUACAAUUAUUAGAUUUAUAAUGCAUGUAUUAUGUAUUUAUAACACUUGGAUAAUGAAG